AGAGUUUGAUCCUGGCUCAGGACGAACGCUGGCGGCGUGCCUAAUACAUGCAAGUAGAACGCUGAAGAGAGGAGCUUGCUCUUCUUGGAUGAGUUGCGAACGGGUGAGUAACGCGUAGGUAACCUGCCUUGUAGCGGGGGAUAACUAUUGGAAACGAUAGCUAAUACCGCAUAACAAUGGAUGACACAUGUCAUUUAUUUGAAAGGGGCAAUUGCUCCACUACAAGAUGGACCUGCGUUGUAUUAGCUAGUAGGUGAGGUAACGGCUCACCUAGGCGACGAUACAUAGCCGACCUGAGAGGGUGAUCGGCCACACUGGGACUGAGACACGGCCCAGACUCCUACGGGAGGCAGCAGUAGGGAAUCUUCGGCAAUGGGGGCAACCCUGACCGAGCAACGCCGCGUGAGUGAAGAAGGUUUUCGGAUCGUAAAGCUCUGUUGUAAGUCAAGAACGAGUGUGAGAGUGGAAAGUUCACACUGUGACGGUAGCUUACCAGAAAGGGACGGCUAACUACGUGCCAGCAGCCGCGGUAAUACGUAGGUCCCGAGCGUUGUCCGGAUUUAUUGGGCGUAAAGCGAGCGCAGGCGGUUUGAUAAGUCUGAAGUUAAAGGCUGUGGCUCAACCAUAGUUCGCUUUGGAAACUGUCAAACUUGAGUGCAGAAGGGGAGAGUGGAAUUCCAUGUGUAGCGGUGAAAUGCGUAGAUAUAUGGAGGAACACCGGUGGCGAAAGCGGCUCUCUGGUCUGUAACUGACGCUGAGGCUCGAAAGCGUGGGGAGCGAACAGGAUUAGAUACCCUGGUAGUCCACGCCGUAAACGAU
rnacentral:rRNA from 1 species